rnacentral:rRNA from 1 species
CCUACGGGAGGCAGCAGUAGGGAAUAUUGCUCAAUGGGGGAAACCCUGAAGCAGCAACGCCGCGUGGAGGAUGAAGGUUUUCGGAUUGUAAACUCCUUUUGUUAGAGAAGAUAAUGACGGUAUCUAACGAAUAAGCACCGGCUAACUCCGUGCCAGCAGCCGCGGUAAUACGGAGGGUGCAAGCGUUACUCGGAAUCACUGGGCGUAAAGAGCGCGUAGGCGGGAUAGCAAGUCAGAUGUGAAAUCCUGUGGCUUAACCAAAGAACUGCAUUUGAAACUGUUAUUCUAGAGUUUGGGAGAGGUAGGUGGAAUUCUUGGUGUAGGGGUAAAAUCCGUAGAGAUCAAGAGGAAUACUCAUUGCGAAGGCGACCUGCUGGAACAUAACUGACGCUGAUGCGCGAAAGCGUGGGGAGCAAACAGGAUUAGAUACCCGAGUAGUC